rfam:Edhazardia aedis TSNM 41457 supercont1.76, whole genome shotgun sequence.
UCCGUGGUGGUACAGUGGUUAGUACGUUACGUUGUGGCCGUAAAGAUCCUGGUUCGAUUCCUGGUCACGGAU